UACGUAGGGUGCGAGCGUUAAUCGGAAUUACUGGGCGUAAAGCGUGCGCAGGCGGUUUUGUAAGUCAGAUGUGAAAGCCCCGGGCUUAACCUGGGAAUGGCAUUUGGGACUGCAAGGCUGGAGUUUGGCAGAGGAGACUGGAAUUCCUGGUGUAGCAGUGAAAUGCGUAGAUAUCAGGAGGAAUACCGAUGGCGAAGGCAGGUCUCUGGGCUAUAACUGACGCUCAUGCACGAAAGCGUGGGGAGCAAACAGG
rnacentral:rRNA from 1 species